rnacentral:rRNA from 1 species
GUGGGGAAUCUUCCGCAAUGGACGAAAGUCUGACGGAGCGACGCCGCGUGAGUGAAGAAGGCCUUCGGGUCGUAAAGCUCUGUCAUCAGGGACGAACGGCCGGUGGAGUGGAAAGCCACCGGAUUGACGGUACCUGAGAAGGAAGCCACGGCUAACUACGUGCCAGCAGCCGCGGUAAUACGUAGGUGGCAAGCGUUGUCCGGAAUUAUUGGGCGUAAAGCGCGCGCAGGUGGGAUCUUAAGUCCAUUUUGAAAGUUCGGAGCUCAACUCCGUGAUGGGAUGGAAACUGGGAUUCUUGAGUACCGGAGAGGAAAGCGGAAUUCCCCGUGUAGCGGUGAAAUGCGUAGAUAUGGGGAGGAACACCAGUGGCGAAGGCGGCUUUCUGGACGGUGUCUGACACUGAGGCGCGAAAGCUAGGGGAGCGAACGGGAUUAGAUACCCUGGUAGUCC